GAUGAACGCUGGCGGCGUGCCUAAUACAUGCAAGUCGAGCGAACAGACGAGGAGCUUGCUCCUCUGACGUUAGCGGCGGACGGGUGAGUAACACGUGGAUAACCUACCUAUAAGACUGGGAUAACUUCGGGAAACCGGAGCUAAUACCGGAUAAUAUAUUGAACCGCAUGGUUCAAUAGUGAAAGACGGUUUUGCUGUCACUUAUAGAUGGAUCCGCGCCGCAUUAGCUAGUUGUUAAGGUAACGGCUUACCAAGGCAACGAUGCGUAGCCGACCUGAGAGGGUGAUAGGCCACACUGGAACUGAGACACGGUCCAGACUCCUAAGGGAGGCAGCAGUAGGGAAUCUUCCGCAAUGGGCGAAAGCCUGACGGAGCAACGCCGCGUGAGUGAUGAAGGUCUUCGGAUCGUAAAACUCUGUUAUUAGGGAAGAACAAAUGUGUAAGUAACUAUGCACGUCUUGACGGUACCUAAUCAGAAAGCCACGGCUAACUACGUG
rnacentral:rRNA from 1 species